UACGAAGGGGGGCUAGCGUUGCUCGGAAUCACUGGGCGUAAAGGGUGCGUAGGCGGGUCUUUAAGUCAGGGGGUGAAAUCCUGGAGCUCAACUCCAGAACUGCCUUUGAUACUGAGGAUCUUGAGUUCGGGAGAGGUGAGUGGAACUGCGAGUGUAGAGGUGAAAUUCGUAGAUAUUCGCAGGAACACCAGUGGCGAAGGCGCUCACUGGCCCGAUACUGACGCUGAGGCACGGAAAGCGUGGGGAGCAACAGGAU
rnacentral:rRNA from 1 species